AUUUCGGCUACCCACAAUGCUCGGGCUCAGAAGACUCGAUUUUGAAUUGCCGUUAUUAUGGUCCGACUGAGAAUUUGUGUGGUCACCACGAAGACGUCGCCGUGUUUUGUUCGGAGAGUGUAAACAACAGUAUAGUUUACAGAGAAAAUUGGGGGAGAGUGGAAUUUUGGAAGGAAGGAAGUUGGAACAACCGACGACCAGUUUGCGAUGGGAACUUUACUGACAUCGAGGCCACAGUGGUAUGUCGAGAGCGAGGCUUCAACGCGGGACAUGCCGUUUGUUGUGGGUCAAGCGAUCCCUGGGGUCACUCUGACUCAAAAACAGAUUGGUUGUGCACGGGGAACGAAGCUCGACUCUUGGAUUGCCCUCACACCGACGCUUCAUGCUCAUCUGGCCACUCUGCAAGUGUUGUGUGCUACAACAGUUCUAUACCACAAGAUGAAGUGUAUACGCUGAACCAUGGCAGUUACGGUUACGUGCGCAUGACCUACAAAGGC